CAAUCGUGCAUGUUUUGGAUUGUUGCGUGGACACCAGUGGUGUAAUACAGUGGGAUGUCCCUCAGUUCUCUUGGCUGGUAGACGGCGUUCCAGUAACCAAUCAAGCAGCGCUGUUGUCUAACGGCAGUAAACUCGACAUCUCACAGGUUACUGGAUAUAACUACACCUGUGUUAUCAGAAGCAGUCUGGGAACAUCUGUGGCAUCAUAUCUGACAUUAAAACAUACUGAAGAAUUGAAGGCGUGUUGUUCUUCUUACAGUGGACUGAUUACUGUUAGUAUUUUACUAGCACUCAUCUCCUGUGUGGCUGGUGGGUUUUACAUAAGAAAACGCUGUCAAAAUUCAUCAGUU